CAUAUACAUCCCACGAAUCAACCCAUGGACUUCUGAUUUUGCAAUCUAACCCAAACGAAUAUUCUGAUUUUGCACUAAUGGUCCCUGAAUUCUUGAUGACUAUCCAAAUCGGUCACAAACUUUGGAAAUUGAAAGAAUAACUUCACAAUUUCACCUCAAACUUCUCAAGUGUGCAAUCCAAACCCUAAAUAUGCAAAAGAAUACUCUAAUGCAAUUUAUA
rnacentral:lncRNA from 1 species